GAAGAAGCCCAGGUCUGAAAUCUCCCGGUCGGCAAUUGUUACGACCGGGCGAAUUGUGGUCUGGAGAGGCGGACUGUCCCGAUCCACUGCUUUUGAGCCCGAAGUUGACUUGGAACGGCACGCCCAAUAGGGUGAGAGCCCCGUAGGGCCCGGUACAUCGCGAAGCAGCGGGACGAGGGUCCGUACUCGUAGAGUCGGGUUGUUUGGGAAUGCAGCCCCAAGUGGGUGGUAGACUCCAUCCGAGGCUAAAUACGGGCGCGAGACCGAUAGCUGACAAGUACCGUGAGGGAAAGGUGAAAAGCACUUUGAAGAGAGAGUUCAAUAGACCGUGAAACCGUUGGGAGGGAAGCUCAGGGUGUCGAGGUUGUCGUGCUCCGCUGAUGUUCAGCCGGCGGCGGUCGGGGUUACCUGCCGCUGUCGGUGCAUUCUUCACGGAGUUGGACCGUCAGUUGGGAAGAGGUCGGGUCCUGUUCUGUCGGCAGUCGGGAGGUAAGCCUUGCGGUUCCUCCGUGUUCCCAGGGUGACGUAUAGCCGUUCUGCCGUGGUCCCGACCGUCUUUCAGGUGCGUCGGACGUCCGUUCGUCCGGAAUGGGAAGGUGCAGUCUCCCCUCGGUUGGGAGUUCGGGCUGGUGGUGGAGUUGCUUCGCUGUGACGAGUCAUGCUCCGUGCCUUCUCCGUUCCGCUUCGGCGUGCGGGGAGG
rnacentral:rRNA from 1 species